GGGUCCCCUUUUUAUAGGCAGAGGGCGUAACAGAUUGAUAGCGAUGUUUGUAACCGCCUGGUAGUGGGCCAUUCAGGGCCAUAAGGAGUUUGUUGCAGAGAGUAGUGGUGUCAGGGGCUGUUCAGAGUCACGUGGAGCUUGUCGUAGGGAGUGGACUAGUGUCUGUUAUCGUGACUUGCCAGAGAGUGGUGGAGCCUCGUGGAAUCU
rnacentral:lncRNA from 1 species